UUGAUCCUGCGCUCAGAGCGAACGCUGGCGGCAGGCUUAACACAUGCAAGUCGAGCGGGCCCUUCGGGGUCAGCGGCAGACGGGUGAGUAACGCGUGGGAACGUGCCCUUCGGUUCGGAAUAACUCAGGGAAACUUGAGCUAAUACCGGAUACGUGCGAGAGCAGAAAGGUUUAUCUGCCGAAGGAUCGGCCCGCGUCUGAUUAGCUGGUUGGUGAGGUUAUGGCUCACCAAGGCGACGAUCAGUAGCUGGUCUGAGAGGAUGAUCAGCCACACUGGGACUGAGACACGGCCCAGACUCCUACGGGAGGCAGCAGAAGGG
rnacentral:rRNA from 1 species